CCUACGGGAGGCAGCAGUGAGGAAUAUUGGUCAAUGGACGAGAGUCUGAACCAGCCAAGUAGCGUGAAGGAUGACUGCCCUAUGGGUUGUAAACUUCUUUUAUAAAGGAAUAAAACGAGGCACGUGUGCCUGUUUGCAUGUACUUUAUGAAUAAGGAUCGGCUAACUCCGUGCCAGCAGCCGCGGUAAUACGGAGGAUCCGAGCGUUAUCCGGAUUUAUUGGGUUUAAAGGGAGCGUAGAUGGGUUGUUAAGUUAGUUGUGAAAGUUUGGGGCUCAACUGUAAAAUUGCAAUUGAUACUGGCAGGCUAGAGUACAGUUGAGGUAGGCGGAAUGCAUGGUGUAGCGGUGAAAUGCUUAGAGAUCACGAAGAACCCCGAUUGCGAAGGCAGCUUACUAAACUGUGACUGACAUUGAGGCUCGAAAGUGUGGGUAUCAAACAGGAUUAGAUACCCGUGUAGUC
rnacentral:rRNA from 1 species